rnacentral:lncRNA from 1 species
NNNNNNNNNNCGGCGGCGGCUGCCGCUGCCACUCCUGCCCCGCUGCCGGCGGCUGGCCGCGACGGCAGGCCGGGGAGCGAAGGCGAGGGGGGAGGCUCCGCCAUGGCGGGGGUCACAGUGCAGGCGGGCUCCCCGCUUGGAAGCGGAGGCGGCGCGAGAAGGCAGCGCGGGGCUUUCGGGUCUUUCCCCCCCCAUGCACGGCGCCUUCGGGGGGCCGCUUCCCGGGGGGGGGGGGCUCAUGGCAUGUGCCAGCCCCCUGCCCGGCAAAGGGGCAGCCAUGGGGGCAGCAAAGGCUCCACACAGGGAAAAGGAGGGAGGAGAGGUGCCGAGUGCGGAGCGGCGUGYGGCCCCGCGCCACCGUGCCCAGCCGCCCUGCAGGGACCCCGGAGGCGGAUAGCGGGACACAGGCUUCCCCGCUCCGCCGCGCCGUGCAAUACCCUGCAGGAAUCUGCCCCGUUCCGGGGUCGGUGCGUGGAGACGGGGCAGCCGGGAGCACGGAAGCGGCAUCCCRGGAUGGCCCAUCCUGCGGCAAGCAGGGGCAACACCGCCCGGACGCGAGGCCCGUGGCCAUCCCGGUGCAGCCCCUGACGGCGGCCAGCCGGCACGGCUCCGAGGAGAGGCACGGAAAGGCCGGCGUCGCGCUUCCCGGCUCACACGUCCCUGCUCUCCCCGCCGCCGCCGCCUCGCUCACGCACCCGGCGUGCAGGAAAAGCAGCUCUCACCGGCAGCGACUCGCCAAACCGCAACCGUCUCCCCCGGGCUCGCGGGCGCGCUGCAGAGGCGGUCCCGGACUCACGCAGGAACGGGGGGACAGAGAGCUGGGCGAGGAGGGAAGGAGACGGGAAAGGGUUCGGAGCAAGGCGGACGAGUGCGUCGGUGCUGAUGCCGUGUCGAGGGAAGCGGGGCCGGCUCUCCGUUGCCAUGGAUUUCCUGCUGCUCCGGUCCCAGUCUCACCAGCCAGAACACAGCUCUGGUCAUGUGUAGUUUCUGCUUUAUUCCUUAGGAUAUAUUUAUAUAUGUAUAGCGGCCGAGGCCCCCUGCGUUCCCCACGGCACCGGGGCAGGGCGCGGAGCGGCCCCGGCCCCAGGGAGCCACGGCAGAGCCGGCGGGACGGCAGGGGGGGGUCCCGGAGG